CCUACGGGGGGCUGCAGUCGAGAAUCAUUCACAAUGGGGGAAACCCUGAUGGUGCGACGCCGCGUGGGGGAAUGAAGGUCUUCGGAUUGUAAACCCCUGUCAUGUGGGAGCAAAUUAAAAAGAUAGUACCACAAGAGGAAGAGACGGCUAACUCUGUGCCAGCAGCCGCGGUAAUACAGAGGUCUCAAGCGUUGUUCGGAAUCACUGGGCGUAAGGCGUGCGUAGGCUGUUUCGUAAGUCGUGUGUGAAAGGCGCGGGCUCAACCCGCGGACGGCACAUGAUACUGCGAGACUAGAGUAAUGGAGGGGGAACCGGAAUGCUCGGUGUAGCAGUGAAAUGCGUAGAUAUCGAGAGGAACACUCGUGGCGAAGGCGGGUUCCUGGACAUUAACUGACGCUGAGGCACGAAGGCCAGGGGAGCGAAAGGGAUUAGAUACCCUGGUAGUC
rnacentral:rRNA from 1 species